GGUGAGUAACACGUGGAUAACCUACCUAUAAGACUGGGAUAACUUCGGGAAACCGGAGCUAAUACCGGAUAAUAUAUUGAACCGCAUGGUUCAAUAGUGAAAGACGGUUUUGCUGUCACUUAUAGAUGGAUCCGCGCCGCAUUAGCUUGUUGGUAAGGUAACGGCUUACCAAGGCAACGAUGCGUAGCCGACCUGAGAGGGUGAUCGGCCACACUGGAACUGAGACACGGUCCAG
rnacentral:rRNA from 1 species